rnacentral:rRNA from 1 species
AGUGGGCUGCACCAGAAGUAGAUAGCUUAACCUUCGGGAGGGCGUUUACCACGGUGUGGUUCAUGACUGGGGUGAAGUCGUAACAAGGUAGCCCUAGGGGAACCUGGGGCUGGAUCACCUCCUUACCUAAAGA